AUACGUAGGGUGCAAGCGUUAAUCGGAAUUACUGGGCGUAAAGCGUGCGCAGGCGGUUUUGUAAGACAGAGGUGAAAUCCCCGGGCUCAACCUGGGGACUGCCUUUGUGACUGGAAGGCUUGCGGUUGGCAGAGGGGGAUGGGAUUUCGCGUGGAGGCGUGAAAGUCGUAGAUAUGCGGAGGAACGCCGAGGGCGAAGGGAAUUCCCUGGGCCUGGAGUGACGCUCAGGCACGAAGGCGGGGGGAGCAAACAGGACUAGAUACCCUGGUAGUCCACGCCCUAAACGAUGUCAUCUGGUUGUUGGGUCUUCAUUGACUCAGUAACGAAGCUAACGCUUGAAGUUGACCGCCUGGGGAGUACGGCCGCAAGGUUGAAACUUAAAGGAAUUGACGGGG
rnacentral:rRNA from 1 species